AACCCAGGCAGUAGCAUCGUUUCACAAUGUUUCCAUCAUCAUCAUCAGUGGAUGCCUUUGCCGUCCGUAGCCUGAGAUUUCAGAUUUGCAGCAAAAAAAUUUGAUUUUCUCAUUUAUUGGAAUGCUGUGCAGGUAUUUGUACCUUGCAGCCAUCCAUUACAAUGUCACCAAGCCGUAACAAAAGCAGGAGAGGGAAAGUACAAGGCUAUGUUCCCAAAACACACAAGUGACAUACCUUAUGUGGAGGAUGUGAUCAGGCUUGUGUUUGAUGAGGUAUUUGAAGAUAAGCUGAAGGAAGCCCUGAUUCCAAUGGACCUGGCAUCACAGUUUGAGAGACCUUCAAAGGAGGACGUGAUUGCAUGCCAUCUUCAGUGCAGGGGUCGUCGAAAGCCAAAACUGUGACCGAUCUGAUCAGGAAGCUCCAAGCGUAUCUGGAGAACAACACACGACAGGAUGAUAACCUUAUAGUGUCGUCUUAAAUAGCACCAGCUGACAAAGCUUUGCUGUGCCAUUUAUCUGAAUAGAUAGCUGUAAGAAAUGAAUUGAACAAUUUUUGAAACAAGAGCACAAUAUGGUUACUAAAGUAUGUUUAUUUGUAU